rnacentral:rRNA from 1 species
CCUACGGGAGGCAGCAGUCGAGAAUCAUUCACAAUGGGGGAAACCCUGAUGGUGCGACGCCGCGUGGGGGAAUGAAGGUCUUCGGAUUGUAAACCCCUGUCAUGUGGGAGCAAAUUAAAAAGAUCGUACCACAAGAGGAAGAGACGGCUAACUCUGUGCCAGCAGCCGCGGUAAUACAGAGGUCUCAAGCGUUGUUCGGAAUCACUGGGCGUAAGGCGUGCGUAGGCUGUUUCGUAAGUCGUGUGUGAAAGGCGCGGGCUCAACCCGCGGACGGCACAUGAUACUGCGAGACUAGAGUAAUGGAGGGGGAACCGGAAUUCUCGGUGUAGCAGUGAAAUGCGUAGAUAUCGAGAGGAACACUCGUGGCGAAGGCGGGUUCCUGGACAUUAACUGACGCUGAGGCACGAAGGCCAGGGGAGCGAAAGGGAUUAGAUACCCUAGUAGUC